rnacentral:lncRNA from 1 species
UGGGGCGGUUAUGGGGCUGAGAGGCCGCUAUGGGGCGCUGUGGGGCGGUUGUGGGGUCCUGUGGGUCAGUUAUGGGGCUCUAUGGGGUGGUUAUGGGGCUCUAUGGGGCAGCUAUGGGGCUGAGAGGCCGCUAUGGGGCGGUUAUGGGGCUUGUAGAACGCUUAUGGGAUUCUGUGGGGCUGUUAUGGGGCUGUUAUGGGGCAGUUAUGGGGUCCUGUGGGGCGGCUGUGGGGNNNNNNNNNNGGCGGUUAUGGGGUCUUUAUGGGGUUCCUAUGGGUUCCUUUUGGGGUCUGUAUGGGGUCUUUAUGGGGUCUCUAUAGGGUGUUUAUGGGCGCCCUAUGGGGUCUCUAUGGGGUCUUUAUGGGGUUCCUAUGGGGUCUCUAUGGGGUCUCUGUCUGUGGGGUCCCUAUGGGGUCUUUAUGGGGUCUGUAGGGAGUCCCUAUGGGGUCCCGAUGGGGUCUCCGUGUGUCCCUAUGGGGUCUUUAUGGGGUCUCUGUGUGUCCCUAUGGGGUCCUUUUGGGGUCUGUCUCUGUGGGGUCCCUAUGGGGUCCCUAUGGGGUCUUUAUGGGGUUUUUGCCCCCCCAGCCGUGCUGCGCCUGGCCCUGCUGUGCGGGGGGCUGCGCUCAGUGUCCCUAUGGGGUCUUUAUGGGGUCUUUAUGGGGUGUCUGUGUGUCCCUAUGGGGUCCCUAUGGGGUCUUUAUGGGGUCUGGGGGUCCCUAUGGUGUCUCUGGGGUCUCUCUGGGUCUCUAUGGGGUCCCUGUGGGGUCUCUGUCUGUGGGAUCACUAUCGGGUCUUUAUGGGGUCCCUAUGGGGUCUUUAUGGGGUCUCUGUCUGUGGGAUCCCUAUGGGGUCUUUAUGGGGUCUCUAUGGGGUCCUUUUGGGGUCUGUCUCUGUGGGGUCCCUAUGGGGUCCCUAUGGGGUCCCUAUGGGGUCCUUUUGGGGUCUGUCUCUGUGUGUCCCUAUGGGGUCUUUAUGGGGUCCCUAUGGGGUCUUUAUGGGGUUUUUUCCCCCCCAGCCGUGCUGCGCCUGGCCCUGCUGUGCGGGGGGGCUNNNNNNNNNNNNNNNNNNNNNNNNNNNNNNNNNNNNNNNNGGGGUCCCUAUGGGGUCUUUAUGGGGUCUGUCCCUAUGGGGUCUGUAUGGGGUCCCUAUGGGGUCCUUUUGGGGUCUGUCCCUAUGGGGUCUGUAUGGGGUCUCUGUCUGUGGGGUCCCUAUGGGGUCUUUAUGGGGUCCCUAUGGGGUCCUUUUGGGGUCUGUCUCUGUGGGGUCCCUAAGGGGUCUUUAUGGGGUCUUUAUGG